GACGAACGCUGGCGGCGUGCCUAACACAUGCAAGUCGAACGGAACUGUUUUGAAAGAUUUCUUCGGAAUGAAUUUGAUUUAGUUUAGUGGCGGACGGGUGAGUAACGCGUGAGUAACCUGCCUUCAAGAGGGGAAUAACAUUCUGAAAAGAAUGCUAAUACCGCAUGACAUAUCGGAACCACAUGGUUUUGAUAUCAAAGAUUUUAUCGCUUGAAGAUGGACUCGCGUCCGAUUAGUUAGUUGGUGAGGUAACGGCUCACCAAGACCGCGAUCGGUAGCCGGACGGAGAGGUUGAACGGCCAAAGUGGGACGGAGACACGGCCCAGACCCCUACGGGAGGCAGCAGUGGGGGAUAUUGCGAAAUGGGGGAAACCCUGACGCAGCAACGCCGGGUAAAGGAUGAAGGUUUUCGGAUUGUAAACUUUUUUUAUAAAGGACGAAAAAUGACGGUAUUAAAUGAAAAAGCCGCGGAUAAUUACGU
rnacentral:rRNA from 1 species